GACGUAGGAUGCAAGCGUUGUCCGGAUUUAUUGGGCGUAAAGAGCUCGUAGGCGGCUUGUUGCGUCGACCGUGAAAACCCGGGGCUCAACUUCGGGCUUGCGGUCGAUACGGGCGGGCUAGAGUUCGGUAGGGGAGACUGGAAUUCCUGGUGUAGCGGUGAAAUGCGCAGAUAUCAGGAGGAACACCGGUGGCGAAGGCGGGUCUCUGGGCCGAUACUGACGCUGAGGAGCGAAAGCGUGGGGAGCGAACAGG
rnacentral:rRNA from 1 species